rnacentral:rRNA from 1 species
CGCAGAACCCCAAAGGCGAAAUGAAAGUGAAGGGAGCUUUGCUUUCCGAGGGAUGAUGGCCGGGCCCCUCCGGGCUCGGCCCGCAAUCCCGGGGCGUCUCCGGCUCAUUGCGAGCGGAGGCGCACCUUGAGCGUACGCGUUGGGACCCGAAAGAUGGUGAACUAUGCCUGGCCAGGACGAAGCCAGGGGAAACCCUGGUGGAGGUCCGUAGCGAUUCUGACGUGCAAAUCGAUCGUUAGAGCUGGGUAUAGGGGCGAAAGACCAAUCGAACCAUCUAGUAGCUGGUUCCCUCCGAAGUUUCCCUCAGGAUAGCUGGCGCUCAUGAGAACCGAGUCUCAUCUGGUAAAGCGAAUGAUUAGAGGCCUUGGGGUCGAAACGACCUCAACCUAUUCUCAAACUUUAAAUGGAUGAGAACCCUGGCUUGCUUAACGUGAAGCCGGGGAUGAUCUUGGAUCCGAGUGCCAAGUGGGCCAUUUUUG